rnacentral:misc_RNA from 1 species
GAUGAAGAACGUAGCGAAAUGCGAUAAGUAAUGCGAAUUGCAGAAUUCCGUGAGUCAUCGAAUCUUUGAACGCACAUUGCGCCCUUUGGUAUUCCAAAGGGCAUGCCUGUUCGAGCGUCAUUUGUACCCUCAAGCUUUGCUUGGUGUUGGGCGUCUUGUCUCCAGUCCGCUGGAGACUCGCCUUAAAGUCAUUGGCAGCCGGCCUACUGGUUUCGGAGCGCAGCACAAGUCGCACUCUUUUCCAGCCAAGGUCAGUGUCCAACAAGCCUUUUUUCAACUUUUGACCUCGGAUCAGGUAGGGAUACCCGCUGAACUUAAGCAUAUCAAUAAGCGGAGGA